UGAGGGUUAGUCGGGACCUAAGCCGAGGCCGAAAGGCGUAGGUGAUGGACAACUGGUUGAUAUUCCAGUACCACUACUAUCGUUAUUAUCGAUGGCGUGACGCAGGAGGAUAGUGUGUGCUAGCUAUUGGAUGCUAGUCUAAGCGUUUAGGCAGUGAGAGUAGGCAAAUCCGCUCUCAUAAUGCUGAGGCGUGAUGGGGAAGGUUCUACGGAACCGAAGUACAUGAUUCCACGCUGCCAAGAAAAGCGUCUAGAGAGAGAAGUAGUGCCCGUACCGCAAACCGACACAGGUAGGUGAGGAGAGAAUCCUAAGGCCGGCGGAAGAAUUACAGUUAAGGAACUCGGCAAAUUGACCCCGUAAGUUCGCGAGAAGGGGUGCCUACGAGAGUAGGCCGCAGAGAAUAGGCCCAAGCAACUGUUUAGCAAAAACACAGGUCUCUGCUAAAGCGUAAGCUGAUGUAUAGGGGCUGACGCCUGCCCGGUGCUGGAAGGUUAAGGGGAACACUUAGCGCAAGCGAAGGUGUGAACUUAAGCCCCAGUAAACGGCGGCCGUAACUAUAACGGUCCUAAGGUAGCGAAAUUCCUUGUCAGGUAAGUUCUGACCCGCACGAAUGGCGUAAUGACUUGGGCACUGUCUCAACUGUAAAUCCGGCGAAGUUGUAGUGCGAGUGAAGAUGCUCGCUACCCGCGAUUGGACGGAAAGACCCCGUAGAGCUUUACUGUAGCUUAGCAUUGAGUUUUGGUAUUGUCUGUACAGGAUAGGUGGGAGACUAGGAAACCAGGGCGUCAGCCUUGGUGGAGUCAACCUUGGGAUACCACCCUGACAGUACUGAAAUUCUAACUGGCGGCCAUGAAUCUGGUCACAGGACAUUGUUAGGUGGGCAGUUUGACUGGGGCGGUCGCCUCCUAAAAAGUAACGGAGGCGCCCAAAGGUUCCCUCAGAACGGUCGGAAAUCGUUCGAAGAGUGCAAAGGCAGAAGGGAGCCUGACUGCGACACCCACAAGUGGAGCAGGGACGAAAGUCGGGCUUAGUGAUCCGGUGGUACCUCGUGGGAGGGCCAUCGCUCAACGGAUAAAAGCUACCUCGGGGAUAACAGGCUGAUCUCCCCCAAGAGUCCACAUCGACGGGGAGGUUUGGCACCUCGAUGUCGGCUCGUCGCAUCCUGGGGCUGAAGUAGGUCCCAAGGGUUGGGCUGUUCGCCCAUUAAAGCGGCACGCGAGCUGGGUUCAGAACGUCGUGAGACAGUUCGGUCCCUAUCCGUCGCGGGCGUAGGAAAUUUGAGAGGAGCUGUCCUUAGUACGAGAGGACCGGGAUGGACUGACCUCUGGUGUACCAGUUGUUCCGCCAGGAGCACAGCUGGGUAGCUAAGUCGGGAAUGGAUAAACGCUGAAAGCAUCUAAGCGUGAAGCCAACCUCAAGAUGAGAUUUCCCAUAGCGUAAGCUAGUAAGAUCCCUUGAAGAACACAAGGUUGAUAGGUCGGGGGUGUAAGCAUGGUAACAUGUUCAGCUGACCGAUACUAAUAGAUCGAGGGCUUGACCAAAU
rnacentral:rRNA from 1 species